UAGGGAAUAUUGCGCAAUGGACGAAAGUCUGACGCAGCGACACCGUGUGAAGGAUGGAGGUCCUCGGAUCGUAAACUUCUGUCAAUUGGAGACGAAGGUACUUAGGGUUAAUAGCCUUAAGUAUUGACGGUACCCAAUAAGGAAGUCUCGGCUUACUCCGUGCCAGCAGCCGCGGUAAGACGGGGGAGGCAAGCGUUGUCCGGAAUUAUUGGGCGUAAAGAGCGCGUAGGUGGUUUAUCAAGUCAUUUGUGAAAACUUUAGGCUUAACUUAAAGAUUGCAAGUGAUACUGGUAUACUUGAGCACAGCAGAGGAAAGUGGAAUUCCUGGUGUAGCGGUGAAAUGCGCAGAUAUCAGGAAGAACACCAGUGGCGAAGGCGGCUUUCUGGGCUGUUGCUGACACUGAGGCGCGAAAGCUAGGGGAGCGAACAG
rnacentral:rRNA from 1 species